rnacentral:rRNA from 1 species
CACGUAGGCACCAAGCGUUGUCCGGAUUUAUUGGGCGUAAAGAGCUCGUAGGCGGUUCGGUAAGUCGGGUGUGAAAUCUCUGGGCUCAACCCAGAGGGGCCACCCGAUACUGCUGUGACUAGAGUGCGGUAGGGGAGUGGGGGAAUUCCUGGUGUAGCGGUGAAAUGCGCAGAUAUCAGGAGGAACACCAGUGGCGAAGGCGCCACUCUGGGCCGUAACUGACGCUGAGGAGCGAAAGCGUGGGUAGCAAACAGG